rnacentral:lncRNA from 1 species
UUUUUCUUUGGUUCCUUCCAGGCCGAACAGGGGACGGUGGGGGUUCUCUGGCCUUGACCGACCGUUCGAGCCACGGCCGCCGCGGCGGAGGCCGACGGCCGACGGGAAUCACUCCCCCGAUCACGGAGGAGGGUGGCCGGCGAUCAAUUUCGAUCACCGGCGCCGGAAACUUCAAGGAAAAGAGACCCAAAAACAGAGGUCCCUUUCCCGAUCGAAAAUCGGCAAUUUUUGUCGCCGGCAGCCGCGCACAAUUGCACGGGGAGGA